ACGGCUCAGUAACACGUAGUCAACCUAACUCGUGGACGUGGAUAACCUCGGGAAACUGAGAAUAAACCACGAUAGAUCAUAAUGCCUGGAAUGGCUUAUGGUCCAAACAGUUUACUGCCAUGGGAUGGGACUGCGGCCUAUCAGCUUGUUGGUGAGGUAAUGGCCCACCAAGGCGAUUACAGGUACGGGCUCUGAGAGGAGAAGCCCGGAGAUGGGUACUGAGACACGGACCCAGGCCCUAUGGGGCGCAGCAGGCGAGAAACCUUAGCAAUGUGCGAAAGCACGACUGGGUCAGUCCGAGUGAUUCCUGAUAAAGGAGUCUUUUGCUUGUCCUAAAAGCACAGGUGAAUAAGGGGUGGGCAAGUCUGGUGUCAGCCGCCGCGGUAAUACCAGCACCUCGAGUGGUCAGGACGUUUAUUGGGCCUAAAGCAUCCGUAGCCGGCUCUGCAAGUCUUCGGUUAAAUCCACCUGCUCAACAGAUGGGCUGCCGGAGAUACUACAAAGCUAGGGAGCGGGAGAGGUAGACGGUAUUCUGUGGGUAGGGGUAAAAUCCACUGAUCCAUAGAGGACCACCAGUGGCGAAGGCGGUCUACCAGAACGCGUUCGACGGUGAGGGAUGAAAGCUGGGGGAGCAAACCGGAUUAGAUACCCGGGUAGUCCCAGCUGUAAACGAUGCAAACUCGGUGAUGCAUUGGCUUAUGGCCAAUGCAGUGCCGCAGGGAAGCCGUUAAGUUUGCCGCCUGGGAAGUACGGACGCAAGUCUGAAACUUAAAGGAAUUGGCGGGGGAG
rnacentral:rRNA from 1 species